rnacentral:rRNA from 2 species
ACGGGAGGCAGCAGUGAGGAAUAUUGGUCAAUGGACGAGAGUCUGAACCAGCCAAGUAGCGUGCAGGAUGACGGCCCUAUGGGUUGUAAACUGCUUUUGUUUGGGAAUAAAGUGCUCCACGUGUGGAGUUUUGUAUGUACCUUACGAAUAAGCAUCGGCUAAUUCCGUGCCAGCAGCCGCGGUAAUACGGAAGAUGCGAGCGUUAUCCGGAUUUAUUGGGUUUAAAGGGAGCGUAGGCGGGCUGUUAAGUCUGCGGUCAAAUGUCAGCGCCCAACGUUGGCAUGCCGUGGAAACUGGCGGUCUUGAAUACACGCAAGGCAGGUGGAAUUCGUCGUGUAGCGGUGAAAUGCUUAGAUAUGACGAAGAACUCCGAUUGCGAAGGCAGCUUGCUGGAGUGCGAUUGACGCUGAGGCUCGAAAGUGUGGGAAUCAAACAGGAUUAGAUACCCUGGUA